rnacentral:rRNA from 1 species
CCCUAGUAUGAGGAUUUAAAUUGAAAUUAGUAUUAAGGAAAUUUAAUAAUUUUGGCGGUUAUUUAUUAAUUAGAGGAGCUUGUUAAAUAGAAUUUACUCUUUAUAUUUAGAGAUUUUUAGUUUAUUUAUCUCCGUUAUAAGAAUAAGGUUGGAAAAUUUAUGAAUUUUAUUUCAGGUCAAGAUGUAGCAAGAGUUAAAAGAAAUUAGCUACAUUUUAUAAUAAAUGGAGUAGAAGUUGAAAUGGUUUUAUGAAAAUGAAUUUAUUUGUAAUAAAUUUUAGGAUAAAUUUAUGAAAUGGAAUAUUUAAUGUA